UACAGAGGGGGCAAGCGUUGUUCGGAAUUACUGGGCGUAAAGGGCGCGUAGGCGGCCUGCUAAGUCGAACGUGAAAUCCCUGGGCUCAACCCAGGAACUGCGUCCGAUACUGGUUGGCUUGAAUCCGGGAGAGGGAUGUGGAAUUCCAGGUGUAGCGGUGAAAUGCAUAGAUAUCUGGAGGAACACCGGUGGCGAAGGCGACAUCCUGGACCGGUAUUGACGCUGAGGCGCGAAAGCCAGGGGAGCAAACGGG
rnacentral:rRNA from 1 species